rnacentral:rRNA from 1 species
AGCGGCGGACGGGUUAGUAACGCGUGGGAAUAUGCCCAGAGGUACGGAACAACUGCUGGAAACGGCAGCUAAUACCGUAUGUGCCCUACGGGGGAAAGAUUUAUCGCCUUUGGAUUAGCCCGCGUUGGAUUAGCUAGUUGGUGGGGUAAUGGCCCACCAAGGCGACGAUCCAUAGCUGGUUUGAGAGGAUGAUCAGCAACACUGGGACUGAGACACGGCCCAGACUCCUACGGGAGGCAGCAGUGGGGAAUCUUGGACAAUGGGGGCAACCCUGAUCCAGCCAUGCCGCGUGAGCGAUGAAGGCCUUAGGGUUGUAAAGCUCUUUCACCGGUGAAGAUAAUGACGGUAGCCGGAGAAGAAGCCCCGGCUAACUCCGUGCCAGCAGCCGCGGUAAUACGGAGGGGGCUAGCGU